GCAUUGGCAAAAUCCAAUGCCGGGAUUCGAACCCCGCUAUAAUCAAGGCGCAGUUGUCGCCAGCCUUUAGAGCUGGUUUUUU
rnacentral:sRNA from 1 species